rnacentral:hammerhead_ribozyme from 1 species
AGCCAGCUGACGAGUCCUAAAUAGGACGAAACGCGCGUCCUGGAU